UUUGCUUAGGGUUGUUUUUGUUGUUGUUGUUGUUUGUUUGUUUGUUUGUUUUAGUGUAAUAAAUUACAUAUAAUAAAAUUUCCCAGUUUAUUUUUUUAAUUUUUAUUUUUUUUCAAUGUUUAUUUUUGGGCAACCACAAGGGGGGAAGGACAGAGAGAGGGGCACAGAAGAUCUGUGCAGACAGGCUAACAGCAGCGUGUGGGGCUCGAACUCAUGAACCAUGAGAUCGUGACCUGAGCUGAAGUGGAUGCUCAACUGACUGAGCUAUCCAGGUGCCCAUAAAAUUAGCCAUUUUAAUCAUUUUAAAGUGUACAGUUCAUUCACAAUGUUGUACAACCAUCACCACUGUUUAUUUCUAAAACUUUUCAUCACCCUAAACAAAAAUUCUGUAACCAUUAAGCAAUAGAUCCCCACUUCCCCCUUGACCCAGAUCCCCAAAACCGCUUUUCUGCUUCCUAUUUUUACAAGUUUGUCUAUUCUAGAUAUUUCAUAUAAGUGGAAUCAUAUGAUAUUUGUCAUUUUGUGUCUGGCUAAUUUUAAUUAGCAUAAUGUCUUCAAGGUUCAUCCAUGUUAUAGCAUGUGUCAGAAUUUCUUUACUUUUUUUUUUUUUAAUAGAGUUCAUUCCCAACAUGGGGCUUAAACUCAUGACCCUGAGAUUGAGAGUUGCAUGCUCUACCAACUGAGCCAGCCAGAGACAGAGACAGAAUGUGAGUGGGUUAGGGGCAGAGAGGUUGGGAGACACAGAAGCAGAAGCAGGCUCCAGGCUCUGAGGUGUCAGCACAGAGACCUACGCGGGGCUCGAACUCACGAGCUGUGAGAUCAUGACCUGAGGCGAAAUCGGACGCUCAACCGACUGAGCCACCCAGGCGCCCCGGUAAUCCUGUGUUUAACUCUUUGAGAAACUGCCAGACUGUUUUCUGCCAUGGCUACACCAUACUACAUCUCCACCGGCAAUGUGUAAGUGUUCCACUAUUGCCACAUUCUCAGCGACACUUGUUACUAUCUUUUUGAUAAUAGCCAUCCUAGUGUGUUGGAAAUAGUGUCUUGUUGUGGUUUUUAUUUGCAUUUCCCUAACAACCAAUGGUGUUGAGCAUUUUCCAUGUGCGUAUUUAUCAUUUGUACCUGUUCUCUGAAAUAAAUCAAAUCCUUUGUCCGUUUUGGAAUUAGGUUGUUUGCGGUUUUGUCAUUUGAGUUGUAGGGUUCUGUAUAUGUUCUGGAAAUGAAUCUCUUAACAGAUACGUGAUUUGCAAAUAUUUUCUCCCGGUCUGUGUUUUGUCUUUUCACUCUCUUGAUGGUGCCCUUUUUGAUAUACAAGUUUUUCAUUCUCAUUAAGUCCAAUUUUUCUACUUUUUUUCUUUUGUUGCCUGUGCUUUGAUGUGAUGUUUAAGAAAUCAUUGCCAAGGUCAUGAAGAUUUAUCCCUAUAUUUUCUUCUAAGAGUUUGGUAGUUUUCGUUUUUACACUUAGGUCUAUUAUCUACUUUUAAUUAAUUUGUGUAUUUGGCAUAAGGGUCCAGCUUCAUUUUUCACCAUUUGGAUAUCCAGUAUUUAUGGCACCAUUUCUUUUUUUUUUUUCAAUAUAUGAAGUUUAUUGUCAAAUUGGUUUCCAUACAACACCCAGUGCUCAUCCCAAAAGGUGCCCUCCUCAAUACCCAUCACCCACCCUCCCCUCCCUCCCACCCCCCAUCAACCCUCAGUUUGUUCUCAGUUUUUAACAGUCUCUUAUGCUUUGGCUCUCUCCCACUCUAACCUCUUUUUUUUUUUUUUUCCUUCCCCUCCUCCAUGGGUUUCUGUUAAGUUUCUCAGGAUCCACAUAAGAGUGAAAACAUAUGGUAUCUGUCUUUCUCUGUAUGGCUUAUUUCACUUAGCAUCACACUCUCCAAUUCCAUCCACGUUGCUACAAAGGGCCAUAUUUCAUUCUUUCUCAUUGCCAUGUAGUACUCCAUUGUGUAUAUAAACCACAAUUUUUUUAUCCAUUCAUCAGCUGAUGGACAUUUAGGCUCUUUCCAUAAUUUGGCUAUUGUUGAGAGUGCUGCUAUAAACAUUGGGGUACAAGUGCCCCUGUGCAUCAGUACUCCUGUAUCCCUUGGGUCAAUUCCUAGCAGUGCUAUUGCUGGGUCAUAGGGUAGGUCUAUUUUUAAUUUUUUGAGGAACCUCCACACUGUUUUCCAGAGUGGCUGCAUUUAUGGCACCAUUUCUUAAAGAGACUCUUAUUUUCCCCAUUGAAUGAUCUUAGCACUCUUGUAAAAAAAAAAAAAAGUCAGUUAACCAGGGGCACCUGGGUGACUCAGUCAAUUAAGCUUCCGACUUUGGCUCAGGUCAUGAUCUCACAGUUCAUGGGUUCAAGCCUAGCAUUGGGCUCUGUGCUGAUAGCUCAGAGCCUGGAGCUUGCUUUGGAUUCUGUGUCUCCCUUUCUUUCUGCCCCUCCCUUGCUUGCACUCUGUCUCUGUCUCUGUCUCUGUCUCUC